rnacentral:misc_RNA from 1 species
CAUGAAGAACGCAGCGAAAUGCGAUAAGUAAUGUGAAUUGCAGAAUUCAGUGAAUCAUCGAAUCUUUGAACGCAUCUUGCGCUCCUUGGUAUUCUGAGGAGCAUGCCUGUUUGAGUGUCAUUAAAUUCUCAACUACACUGACUUUGAAUUGGUGUGGCUUGGAUUUGGGGGGAAAAUUGUUGUGGGCUUUUUGUAUAGUCUGCUCCCCUGAAAUUGAUUAGCGGUACCUUUGUGGAACUGUCUACAGGUGUGAUAAUUAUCUACAUCUUAGACAUCUGCUGGAAUGCUGCUUUCUAAACCUUACUUGUAUUGACAAUCUUGACCUCAAAUCAGGUAGGACUACCCGCUGAACUUAAGCAUAUCAAUAAGCGGAGGA